GUCCAUUAGCUCUGGAGUCAGAAGCUGCGGCAGACAGUCCUGGCCACACAGCUGCCUGGAGCCUCCAGAAGGUGCAGCAGCUCUGCUCAAUUCAGAUUUGUAAGGAUGAGUAUCCAGGCACCACCCACACUCCAGGAUCAAGACAAGGAGAGCCUGCUGAGGAAUGAGCCAUAGCCCCUGCUGUUCUGGAUG
rnacentral:lncRNA from 1 species